GAAGUAUUUAGGGCCAGGUUGGAUGGGGCUCUGAGCAACCUGGUCUAGUGGAAGGUGUCCUUGCUCAUGGCAGGGGGCAUGGAACUAGGGGAUCUUUAAGGUAUCUUCUAACUCAGGCCAUUCUAUGA